CCAAAGCAUAUUUCAUACUGCUACCAAACAUUUUUAACAGCUACAAAGGAUAUUGAGUCAAGGUAUAAAACUGUUUAAAUGUAUGACCCUGUAAUCAUGUUGCAGGUAAGAGUCGUCAGUGUCCUGAUGGAAUAAGACACAAAUCCAAGUGUGAGGUACAGAAAAGACUCCCAAGUCUGCAUAUGAGGACAUGGUUUAUUUUAUUAAAGGCAUAGCUGAUUCCAGCGUUUACAACUGUCCACAAAGAGACAAGAACACAAUAAAUCAAGCCCAUUAUAGAAGGAGAUAUCCUCAAACCCAACUAUUCCCUGACAAAAUCCUCUUUAAAAAAAAAAAAGAAAAAAAAAAAAAUCUCAACUGGAUAUCUCCCUCAUCCAAAAUACAAGGCAUUCUGAAAGAUGGAUUUCAUGCAGAAUUUCAAGAGUGGCAGACUCAAUUUAGGGUUGGGACAAACCUUCAUAGUGGUAAAUUUAAUGUAAAAAGCUGGCUGUUAUUUUUUUAUUUAUUUUUUUUUUUUGUGUUUUUAGCUUUAGUAUUGGAAUGUUAUAUUAUGGCCCAAAGGCGCAAGGCUGUUGUCCUGUGAUCAGCAUUGUAAUGUACAUCACUACAGAAGCCACAGUUAAAAGAUGGAUACUGGACAACAGGGGAAAAAAAUCCACAUUUACAAUGCAGUGAGAUACAGGGUAUCAAAAAAAAAAAAAGCACAUUCACACAAGACUGUGCACUACAAGUCCAUCCAAAAUAAAAGAAUGUUAGGCGUCCACAGCAACCAAUCAGAGCACAGGCUUCUGAAACUCCUUGCUGAACGAUUCUAAAAGGAAAACAAAAUGGGGCGCUCGGCUCCCGCUGAAAAUUUGCUUUGCUUAUAGUUUUUUUUUUAUUUUUUUUUUUUGCAAAUUAUACUUUGACCUAA